AGAACCCAUAAAUCAUGCUAGAUUUGUGUUGGACUCUGCAUUCAGAUGCAUUGCCCCAAAGAAAUAGGUCUUGAUUUGCGGACGAGUUCCUCUUGGACUUACCGUGGUUCUGACCAGUGUCAAAGAGGCCAUUUGGCCUCUGAAU
rnacentral:misc_RNA from 1 species